GGGGCUGGGGCUCAGUGGUAGAGCACUUGCCUAGUAUGUGUGAGGCCCUGGGUUCGAUCCUCAGCACCA
rnacentral:tRNA from 1 species